rnacentral:rRNA from 1 species
UACCAGCACCCCGAGUGGUCGGGACGAUUAUUGGGCCUAAAGCAUCCGUAGCCGGUCCUACAAGUCUUCCGUUAAAUCCACCUGCUUAACAGAUGGGCUGCGGAAGAUACUAUAGGGCUAGGAGGCGGGAGAGGCAAGCGGUACUCAGUGGGUAGGGGUAAAAUCCUCUGAUCCAUUGAAGACCACCAGUGGCGAAGGCGGCUUGCCAGAACGCGCUCGACGGUGAGGGAUGAAAGCUGGGGGAGCAACAGG